GAUGAACGCUGGCGGCAGGCUUAACACAUGCAAGUCGAGCGAGCGGCGGACGGGUGAGUAAUGUCUGGGAAACUGCCUGAUGGAGGGGGAUAACUACUGGAAACGGUAGCUAAUACCGCAUACCAUCAGAUGAACCCAUAUGGGAUUAGCUUGUAGGUGGGGUAAUGGCUCACCUAGGCGACGAUCCCUAGCUGGUCUGAGAGGAUGACCAGCCACACUGGAACUGAGACACGGUCCAGACUCCUACGGUAGGCAGCAGUGGGGAAUAUUGCACAAUGGGCGCAAGCCUGAUGCAGCCAUGCCGCGUGUGUGAAGAAGGCCUUCGGGUUGUAAAGUACUUUCAGCGAGGAGGCGUUACUCGCAGAAGAAGCACCGGCUAACUCCGUGCCAGCAGCCGCGGUAAUAC
rnacentral:rRNA from 1 species